rnacentral:tRNA from 1 species
CCUGAUAGCUCAGUUGGUAAAGAAUCUGCUUGCAAUGCAGGAGACCCUGGUUCAAUUCCUGGGUCAGGA